GAUCAACGCUGGCGGCGUGCCUAAUGCAUGCAAGUCGAACGGGGCAUCCUUCGGGGUGCUUACGUGGCGGACGGGUGAGGCACACGUGGGCAAGCUGCCCUGAGGUGGGGGGGUAGCCGCCGGAAACGGCGGGUAAUUCCGCAUGAGCUCAUCGCCCGGUGGGGGGGAUGAGGAAAGGCUCGCGAGCGUCGCCUUGGGAUGCGCCUGCGGCCGAUUAGCUUGUUGGUGGGGUAACGGCCUACCAAGGCGGUGAUCGGUAGCUGGUCUGAGAGGACGGCCAGCCACACGGGGACUGAGACACGGCACCGACUCCUACGGGAGGCAGCAGCAAGGAAUUUUCCGCAAUGGGCGAAAGCCUGACGGAGCAACGCCGCGUGGGGGAGGACGCCUUUCGGGGUGUAAACCCCUUUUCUUGGGGACGACGACCGACGGUACCCGAGGAAGAAGGACCGGCUAACUACGUG
rnacentral:rRNA from 1 species